AUCCUUUUGUGGUUUAUUAGCUUGAUAUUGAGUUUUCACACUAUUCUAUGAGAUGUGCCUCCCUCAAAACUUGUUACAACAUUGACACAUUACCCUUCUGAUG
rnacentral:snoRNA from 1 species